rnacentral:rRNA from 1 species
CGUGUAGGCGGUCAGAUAAGUCUGGUGUGAAAGCCCUUGGCUUAACCAAGGAAUGUCGCUGGAAACUGUCUGGCUUGAGUACGAGAGAGGAGAGUGGAAUUCCCGGUGUAGAGGUGAAAUUCGUAGAUAUCGGGAGGAACACCAGUGGCGAAGGCGGCUCUCUGGAUCGAUACUGACGCUGAUACGCGAAAGCGUGGGGAGCAAACAGGAUUAGAUACCCUGGUAGUCCACGCUGUAAACGUUGGGCACUAGGUGUAGGAGGUAUUGACCCCUUCUGUGCCGAAGCUAACGCAUUAAGUGUCCCGCCUGGGGACUACGGCCGCAAGGUUAAA